CAGGCGUGGCGGCUUUCAUUUUAGUGUGGCGGUGCGCCACAAUCUGUUGAAUAUAGGGGAAUCCCUGGGUCUUGCUAACUACAAUGAGGAGAGGAAAUGUUCCUUUCUGAGUGUGAAGCUGGCGGUGAAUAAUGAUUCAUCGUAUGUUUUCUGCCAUUGAUGAAUGUUCACUGUUUCUUCAUGGAGCAGAGAAGGAAGGAAUAUGUUCGGAGUAGU